CUAUGUGUAUCACGUGUAUGCUUGCUCUGUUGAGUUAAUUACAUCAUAUACAGGCUUAGACUAUUGAAUAUUUACUCAGAAAAGAAGGACAACAGUCUGGAAUUUUGAAUUAUUUGUGGGAUUUAGAUGACUUGGGAGAUGAUUGGUUUUUAAUUUAUUUUUUCUUGGCAGAUAUUUCAUAAUUGUUUGGUAGUCCUUGUUGAAAUUUUUUGAAUUAUGGCUCUAGGUUGCUAAGAUAUAAAUUUUGUAAGUAUUAUGAUGUUGCUGCAGUGGUUUAGCCUUUCUAUGGGGACUGAUUGACAGAUAAAAGUUCUGGGGUGGAACUUUAUGCACUAAUUUUUAAGUGAAGUGCCUAGUUAAUUAUUAUGUUAUCUGCCUACAGGAUGCCAGUAUUAUACAUUGUGAGUAGACCUGAAUACAACUCAAUAAUAAAUAUCAUUAGGUUUUAACAUUGAAUAAAUACACUGCGGUUACAUUCAAAUGUUACUAAAUUCCUACUAUAUUAAUCUAUUGCGUCUUAUAUUGAUAAGCUAUGAUAUACCUUGUGCUUUUUAUUCAUAUCUUAAGCUUUUAACAUACUCUAUAAUACGCUUCUUAUCAUUAUUUAAAAUUUAUUACAAACUAACUACAAAAUCAUGAGUUGGCGAUUCUUAAAUAAAGAAUGAGACUUACACAUGUUUGUAAUUUUAUAAUAAAUUUCAGUCAAUAAUACUUGUGUUUAAAAAGGGGUUUUACUGGUAUUUUUUGAUCUAAUAUUUAUCCCCUUUCCUAUCUACAAAAUUUGGAGCUAAUCUCAUUUUGCUUCAGUUAAUCAAUCAUAAUUUCAAACAGCACUGGCAUCAACUAGCUAAUCAGCUUAUAAUUUUGCUUGUUUGGACUGUGCUUAUUUUUAGAAAUUGAUUACUUUCCUCAGAUUUCUCGGGAAGUUUUUGGGGGAGAAGAAUAUUAUUUUCCUAAAAAUAAGUUUUCCCAGACGUUCAGUAGUAUCUUUGGUAUGCAUAUCGUUAAAAAAUGUUACCUAUAUAGACUUUCAUUAACUAAAUAAAAAAAAAAAACUGGCCUGCAUGAAAUAACCGAGUAAACUUACUGAUGGUUUUAGUUUUUUUAAUAAAAUUUUGGGUUGAAGAUCAUGAUAUUAGUCGGUGAUUUGAGCUUUCCUUGCAUGCAACUUUCUUUUGCAGUAUCAAAUAUCUGAUGAUAGAAUCUGCUUUUGGGUUUAUAAUGGUCUUUAUUUGGUAAUUUGAUGUUCUUUAUCUUGGGGAUGCAGAUGGUGCUGGUGGCAAAGGCACUUGGGGGAAAUUGCUUGAUACUGAUAUUGUUUCUCACAUAGAUCGAAAUGAUCCAAAUUAUGACAGUGGCGAG
rnacentral:lncRNA from 1 species